AGGGAUGGCUCAGUGGUCAAGAGCAUCUGCUGCUCUUGCAGAAGACCUGAGUUUGAAUCCCAGGAUCCUUG
rnacentral:tRNA from 1 species